rnacentral:rRNA from 1 species
CCUACGGGAGGCAGCAGUGGGGAAUAUUGCACAAUGGGGGGAACCUUGAUGCAGCAACGCCGCGUGGGUGAAGAAGUACUCCGGUAUGUAAAGCCCUGUCAGCAGGGAAGAAAAUGACGGUACCUGACCAAGAAGCCCCGGCUAAAUCCGUGCCAGCAGCCGCGGUAAUACGUAGGGGGCAAGCGUUAUCCGGAUUUACUGGGGGUAAAGGGAGCGUAGUCGGCAAGGCAAGUCUGGAGUGAAAGCCCGGGGCCCAACCCCGGGACUGCCUUGGAAACUGGCUUGCUGGAGUGCAGGAGGGGUAAGCGGAAUUCCUAGUGUAGCGGUGAAAUGCGUAGAUAUUAGGAGGAACACCGGUGGCGAAGGCGGCUUACUGGACUGUAACUGACGUUGAGGCUCGAAGGCGUGGGGAGCAAACAGGAUUAGAUACCCUAGUAGUC